GAUGAACGCUGGCGGCGUGCCUAAUACAUGCAAGUCGAGCGAACAGAUGAGGAGCUUGCUCCUCUGACGUUAGCGGCGGACGUGUGAGUAACACGUGGAUAACCUACCUAUAAUACUUGGAUAACUUCGGGAAACCGGAUCUAAUACCGGAUAAUAUAUUGAACCGCAUGGUUCAAUAGUUAAAUACGGUUUUUCUUUCUCUUAUAGAUUGUUCCGCGCCGCAUUAGCUAGUUGGUAAGGUAACGGCUUACCAAGGCAACGAUGCGUAGCCGAACUGAGAGGGUGAUCGGCCACACUGGAACUGAGACACGGACCAGACUACUACGGGAGGCAGCAGAAGGGAAUGGGACGCAAUGGGCGAAAGCAUGACGGAGCAAAGCCGAGUGAGUGAUGAAGGUCUUCGGAUCGUAAAACUCUGUUAUGAGGGAAGAAAAAAUGUGUAAGUAAAUAUGCACGUAUUGACGGUAACUAAUCAGAAAGCCACGGCUAACUACGUG
rnacentral:rRNA from 1 species